GAUGAACGCUGGCGGCGUGCCUAAUACAUGCAAGUCGAGCGAACUUUUGGGACCUUGCUGCCAAACGUUAGCGGCGGACGGGUGAGUAACACGUGGGUAACCUGCCUGUAAGACUGGGAUAACUUCAGGAAACCGGAGCUAAUACCGGAUAACAUCUAAGACCACAUGGCGUUCGAUUAAAAGUUGGGUUUUAGCUGCCACUUACCGAUGGUCCCGCGGCGCAUUAGCUAGUUGUUGCGGGCACGGCUCACCAAGGCGACGAUGCGUAGGCGACCUGCGAGGGUGGUCGGCCAGCCUGGGAGUGAGACACGGCACAGACGGCUACGGGAGGCAGCAGUAGUGAAUCGGGCGCAAGGGGCGGAAGUCUGACGGAGCAAGGCGGCGUGAGCGUAGAAGGCCUUCGGGUCGGAGAGGACGGUUGUUGGGGAAGAAAAAGCAUCGGUCGAAUAGGGAGGGACCGUGACGGUACCUAACCAGAAAGCCACGGCUAACUACGUG
rnacentral:rRNA from 1 species